UGCCAGCAGCCGCGGUAAUACAGAGGAUGCAAGCGUUAUCCGGAAUGAUUGGGCGUAAAGCGUCUGUAGGUGGCUUUUUAAGUUCUGCUGUGAAAGCCCUGGGCUCAACCUGGGAACUGCAGUGGAUACUGGCGAGCGUAGAGUGUGAUAGAGGAUGGUAGGAAUUCCCGGUGUAGCGGUGAAAUGCGUAGAGAUCGGGAGACACAGUGGCGAAGGCGCAUCUGGAUCAAC
rnacentral:rRNA from 1 species